rnacentral:rRNA from 1 species
AGUGAAGCGGGAUGAGCUCAAAUUUAAAAUCUGGCUGGUUUACUAGUCCGAAUUGUAGUUUAUAGAAGCGUUUUCGGUGGCAGCCUGGGUAUAAAUCCUUUGGAAUAGGGUAUCAUAGAGGGUGAGAAUCCCGUCUUUGACUCAGUGCAUGCUACUAUGUGAUACGUUUUCAAAGAGUCGAGUUGUUUGGGAAUGCAGCUCAAAAUGGGAGGUAAAUUUCUUCUAAAGCUAAAUACCGGCGAGAGACCGAUAGCGAACAAGUACCGUGAGGGAAAGAUGAAAAGAACUUUGAAAAGAGAGUUAAACAGUGCGUGAAAUUGUUGAAAGGGAAACGUUUGACACCAGUUAUGCGGGUGGAAAAUCAAUCUUUUGCAAUGGCAAGCUGUGGGCGUUCAGACCGCAAGGCUGGCGUUUGCUUCAUUGUUGUUGUAAGUGAUGCACUUUUUCAUUUGCAGGUCAACAUCAGUUUGUUUCCCUGGACAAAACCCCAAGGGAAGGUGGCAGCUUAAGCUGUGUUAUAGCCCUGGGGCGAUACAGUGGAAUGGACUGAGGUUUUCGCACCGUGUGCUUUCCGGCAAGGUCGACUGGGUGCUAUGGGAUCGUUUGGCGUACAAUGCAUGCAUUUUGCGCUUCCUCUUUUUCAUACUCGCUCAAAUCGUCUCUUCCACGCUUAGGAUGUUGACUUAAUGGUUUUAAACGACCCGUCUUGAAACACGGACCAAGGAGUCUAACAUAUAUGCAAGUGUUUGGGUGGCAAACCCAUGCGCGUAAUGAAAGUGAACGUAGGUGCGAUCCGCAAGGUGCAGCAUCGACCGAUCUUGAUAUUUUUGGAUAGAUUUGAGUAAGAGCAUAUAUGCUGGGACCCGAAAGAUGGUGAACUAUGCCUGAAUAGGGUGAAGCCAGAGGAAACUCUGGUGGAGGCUCGUAGCGAUUCUGACGUGCAAAUCGAUCGUCAAAUUG